rnacentral:rRNA from 1 species
GGGUUGUGAGGUUAAGCGACUAAGCGUACACGGUGGAUGCCCUGGCAGUCAGAGGCGAUGAAGGGCGUGCUAAUCUGCGAUAAGCGCCGGUAAGGUGAUAUGAACCGUUAUAACCGGCGAUACCCGAAUGGGGAAACCCAGUGUGACUCGUCACACUAUCAUUAACUGAAUCCAUAGGUUAAUGAGGCGAACCGGGGGAACUGAAACAUCUAAGUACCCCGAGGAAAAGAAAUCAACCGAGAUUCCCCCAGUAGCGGCGAGCGAACGGGGAGGAGCCCAGAGCCUGAAUCAGCAUGUGUGUUAGUGGAAGCGUCUGGAAAGGCGCGCGAUACAGGGUGACAGCCCCGUACACAAAAGCGCAUGUGCUGUGAGCUCGAUGAGUAGGGCGGGACACGUGGUAUCCUGUCUGAAUAUGGGGGGACCAUCCUCCAAGGCUAAAUACUCCUGACUGACCGAUAGUGAACCAGUACCGUGAGGGAAAGGCGAAAAGAACCCCGGCGAGGGGAGUGAAAAAGAACCUGAAACCGUGUACGUACAAGCAGUGGGAGCACAGGUUUACCUGUGUGACUGCGUACCUUUUGUAUAAUGGGUCAGCGACUUAUAUUCUGUAGCAAGGUUAACCGAAUAGGGGAGCCGUAGGGAAACCGAGUCUUAACCGGGCGUUAAGUUGCAGGGUAUAGACCCGAAACCCGGUGAUCUAGCCAUGGGCAGGUUGAAGGUUGGGUAACACUAACUGGAGGACCGAACCGACUAAUGUUGAAAAAUUAGCGGAUGACCUGUGGCUGGGGGUGAAAGGCCAAUCAAACCGGGAGAUAGCUGGUUCUCCCCGAAAGCUAUUUAGGUAGCGCCUCGUGAACUCAUCUCCGGGGGUAGAGCACUGUUUCGGCUAGGGGGCCAUCCCGGCUUACCAACCCGAUGCAAACUGCGAAUACCGGAGAAUGUUAUCACGGGAGACACACGGCGGGUGCUAACGUCCGUCGUGAAGAGGGAAACAACCCAGACCGCCAGCUAAGGUCCCAAAGUCAUGGUUAAGUGGGAAACGAUGUGGGAAGGCCCAGACAGCCAGGAUGUUGGCUUAGAAGCAGCCAUCAUUUAAAGAAAGCGUAAUAGCUCACUGGUCGAGUCGGCCUGCGCGGAAGAUGUAACGGGGCUAAACCAUGCACCGAAGCUGCGGCAGCGACACUGUGUGUUGUUGGGUAGGGGAGCGUUCUGUAAGCCUGUGAAGGUGUGUCGUGAGGCAUGCUGGAGGUAUCAGAAGUGCGAAUGCUGACAUAAGUAACGAUAAAGCGGGUGAAAAGCCCGCUCGCCGGAAGACCAAGGGUUCCUGUCCAACGUUAAUCGGGGCAGGGUGAGUCGACCCCUAAGGCGAGGCCGAAAGGCGUAGUCGAUGGGAAACAGGUUAAUAUUCCUGUACUUGGUGUUACUGCGAAGGGGGGACGGAGAAGGCUAUGUUGGCCGGGCGACGGUUGUCCCGGUUUAAGCGUGUAGGUGUGUGUUCCAGGUAAAUCCGGUUCACUUUAACACUGAGGCGUGAUGACGAGGCACUACGGUGCUGAAGCAACAAAUGCCCUGCUUCCAGGAAAAGCCUCUAAGCAUCAGGUAACAUCAAAUCGUACCCCAAACCGACACAGGUGGUCAGGUAGAGAAUACCAAGGCGCUUGAGAGAACUCGGGUGAAGGAACUAGGCAAAAUGGUGCCGUAACUUCGGGAGAAGGCACGCUGACAUGUAGGUGAAGUGAUUUACUCAUGGAGCUGAAGUCAGUCGAAGAUACCAGCUGGCUGCAACUGUUUAUUAAAAACACAGCACUGUGCAAACACGAAAGUGGACGUAUACGGUGUGACGCCUGCCCGGUGCCGGAAGGUUAAUUGAUGGGGUCAGCGCAAGCGAAGCUCCUGAUCGAAGCCCCGGUAAACGGCGGCCGUAACUAUAACGGUCCUAAGGUAGCGAAAUUCCUUGUCGGGUAAGUUCCGACCUGCACGAAUGGCGUAAUGAUGGCCAGGCUGUCUCCACCCGAGACUCAGUGAAAUUGAACUCGCUGUGAAGAUGCAGUGUACCCGCGGCAAGACGGAAAGACCCCGUGAACCUUUACUAUAGCUUGACACUGAACAUUGAGCCUUGAUGUGUAGGAUAGGUGGGAGGCUUUGAAGCGUGGACGCCAGUCUGCGUGGAGCCGACCUUGAAAUACCACCCUUUAAUGUUUGAUGUUCUAACGUGGACCCGUAAUCCGGGUUGCGGACAGUGUCUGGUGGGUAGUUUGACUGGGGCGGUCUCCUCCUAAAGAGUAACGGAGGAGCACGAAGGUUGGCUAAUCCUGGUCGGACAUCAGGAGGUUAGUGCAAUGGCAUAAGCCAGCUUGACUGCGAGCGUGACGGCGCGAGCAGGUGCGAAAGCAGGUCAUAGUGAUCCGGUGGUUCUGAAUGGAAGGGCCAUCGCUCAACGGAUAAAAGGUACUCCGGGGAUAACAGGCUGAUACCGCCCAAGAGUUCAUAUCGACGGCGGUGUUUGGCACCUCGAUGUCGGCUCAUCACAUCCUGGGGCUGAAGUAGGUCCCAAGGGUAUGGCUGUUCGCCAUUUAAAGUGGUACGCGAGCUGGGUUUAGAACGUCGUGAGACAGUUCGGUCCCUAUCUGCCGUGGGCGCUGGAGAACUGAGGGGGGCUGCUCCUAGUACGAGAGGACCGGAGUGGACGCAUCACUGGUGUUCGGGUUGUCAUGCCAAUGGCACUGCCCGGUAGCUAAAUGCGGAAGAGAUAAGUGCUGAAAGCAUCUAAGCACGAAACUUGCCCCGAGAUGAGUUCUCCCUGAGACUUAGAGUCUCCUGAAGGAACGUUGAAGACGACGACGUUGAUAGGCCGGGUGUGUAAGCGCAGCGAUGCGUUGAGCUAACCGGUACUAAUGAACCGUGAGGCUUAACCUUACAACGCCGAAG